GUGGUGGUUCAGCGGUAGAAUAUUUGCCUUCCAUACAGAAGACCCGGGUUCAACUCCCGGCCAACACA
rnacentral:tRNA from 1 species